rnacentral:tRNA from 1 species
GGGGAUAUAGCUCAGUGGUGCAGAGCUUGCUUGGCAAGCAUGAGGUCCUGAAUUCAAUUCUCAGUAUUCCCC